UGCUUUGAGUUAGGUACUAUCAAUUUACUUAUUUAUUUCAUUUACAAUUGCUUGGGACAUUGAGCUUUUCUUGUGAUGAAAGUUGGCUACUAAUUUUAGAGAACUCUUGGAGUUGUUCUUAUAUGUUACCCUCCAAAACCGUCUUUCUCCAACUUUGGUAAAAGUUGUUGCUAACUAGAUAUUCAUAUUGCAUUUCAGCCAUCCUACAAGACCAAGGCAGCGUACCUGGUGGUGUCGACAAGUGAAAAGUGCUCAUCGAAGCUGUGUUUUGUUUUGAACCUAUUAGACAUAAGACUAUGAGCUCACUGUUAGUAAAAGUUGAGCAAUGAGCUUUAAGUGUUAAUGAGCUAAGCUUUUGGUUACAAGUAGUGGAUGUAUGAAUUUUGGU
rnacentral:lncRNA from 1 species